rnacentral:rRNA from 1 species
UACGGAGGAUCCGAGCGUUAUCCGGAUUUAUUGGGUUUAAAGGGAGCGUAGGUGGAUUGUUAUGUCAGUUGUGAAAGUUUGCGGCUCAACCGUAAAAUUGCAGUUGAAACUGGCAGUCUUGAGUACAGUAGAGGUGGGCGGAAUUCGUGGUGUAGCGGUGAAAUGCUUAGAUAUCACGAAGAACUCCGAUUGCGAAGGCAGCUCACUGGACUGCAACUGACACUGAGGCUCGAAAGUGUGGGUAUCAAACAGG